rnacentral:lncRNA from 1 species
UUAAAAUAUAGGGUUAAUUUCAUAAAAUUCCAACAAACAUAAUAAAUUACAAAUAUAUUCAUACAAAAUUCAACUUUGAUAUGUUGUUUUCACAAAAACCCUAAUAUUUUUAAAUAUGUCCAUCUGAUUUGUUACCGUUAAAAUACUAUUUAUUUUAUAAGUAAAAUGACAUUUUUGCUAUCACAAAUAUAUCUCUAUAAAAAUUCCAACUAUUAAUUAAAGAGGGAUAACAAGAUCAAUUCACCUUAUUAAUUAGCUAGGAUUAAGUAUUUUAUCUAAGGUUAACUAAUUUUUUCUUACGAAUCCUAACGUCAGGAACAUAUUUGAAAAUAUCAGAGAUUUUUUUAGGAACAACAUAUAAAAGUUAAACUUUGUAAAAAUAUAUCUAUAAUUUAUUAUAUUUGUAAAAAGCUGU